AUUGAACGCUGGCGGCAUGCUUUACACAUGCAAGUCGAACGGUAACGCGGGGGCAACCCUGGCGACGAGUGGCGAACGGGUGAGUAAUACAUCGGAACAUGUCCUGGAGUGGGGGAUAGCUCGGCGAAAGCCGGAUUAAUACCGCAUACGCUCUGAGGAGGAAAGCGGGGGACCUGGUAACGGGCCUCGCGCUGCGGGAGUGGCCGAUGUCGGAUUAGCUAGUUGGUGAGGUAAAGGCUCACCAAGGCGACGAUCCGUAGCUGGUCUGAGAGGACGACCAGCCACACUGGGACUGAGACACGGCCCAGACUCCUACGGGAGGCAGCAGUGGGGAAUUUUGGACAAUGGGCGAAAGCCUGAUCCAGCCAUGCCGCGUGCGGGAAGAAGGCCUUCGGGUUGUAAACCGCUUUUGUCAGGGAAGAAAUCUUUUGGGCUAAUACCUCGGGAGGAUGACGGUACCUGAAGAAUAAGCACCGGCUAACUACGUGCCAGCAGCCGCGGUAAUACGUAGGGUGCAAGCGUUAAUCGGAAUUACUGGGCGUAAAGCGUGCGCAGGCGGUCUUGCAAGACAGAUGUGAGAUCCCCGGGCUUAACCUGGGAACUGCAUUUGUGACUGCAAGGCUGGAGUACGGC
rnacentral:rRNA from 1 species